rnacentral:rRNA from 1 species
GAUGAACGCUGGCGGCGUGCCUAAUACAUGCAAGUCGAGCGAACAGACGAGGAGCUUGCUCCUUUGACGUUAGCGGCGGACGGGUGAGUAACACGUGGGUAACCUACCUAUAAGACUGGGAUAACUUCGGGAAACCGGAGCUAAUACCGGAUAAUAUUUCGAACCGCAUGGUUCGAUAGUGAAAGAUGGCUUUGCUAUCACUUAUAGAUGGACCUGCGCCGUAUUAGCUAGUUGGUAAGGUAACGGCUUACCAAGGCAACGAUACGUAGCCGACCUGAGAGGGUGAUCGGCCACACUGGAACUGAGACACGGUCCAGACUCCUACGGGAGGCAGCAGUAGGGAAUCUUCCGCAAUGGGCGAAAGCCUGACGGAGCAACGCCGCGUGAGUGAUGAAGGUCUUCGGAUCGUAAAACUCUGUUAUUAGGGAAGAACAAACGUGUAAGUAACUGUGCACGUCUUGACGGGACCUAAUCAGAAAGCCACGGCUAACUACGU